AGAGAGAAAACACACCCCAGAAGAAGAGAGAAAACACACCCCAGAAGAAGAAAGAGAGAAAACACACCCCAGAAGAAGAAAGAGAGAAAACACACCCCAGAAGAAGUUCGGUUCACCUAAUCAGUCUUUACUGUGGUGGUGGAGCUAUUUCUACCACGGUUUAUGUACUGUUAGUCUCAAAAGAACCAGCUUAAAGGGGGUGGAUGUUGAACUACUAUGGUGUUAUGAAUCUGUGAACCCCAGGCAGUCCAGUGUUAUGAAUCUGUGAACCCCAGGCAGUCCAAUGUUAUGAAUCUGUGAACCCCAGACAGUCCGGUGUUAUGAAUCUGUGAACCCCAGGCAGUCCAGUGUUAUGAAUCUGUGAACCCCAGGCAGUCCAAUGUUAUGAAUCUGUGAACCCCAGACAGUCCAAUGUUAUGAAUCUGUGAACCCCAGACAGUCCGGUGUUAUGAAUCUGUGAACCCCAGACAGUCCGGUGUUAUGAAUCUGUGAACCCCAGACAGUCCAGUGUUAUGAAUCUGUGAACCCCAGGCAGUCCAAUGUUAUGAAUCUGUGAACCCCAGACAGUCCGGUGUUAUGAAUCUGUGAACCCCAGACAGUCCGGUGUUAUGAAUCUGUGAACCCCAGACAGUCCAAUGUUAUGAAUCUGUGAACCCCAGGCAGUCCAAUGUUAUGAAUCUGUGAACCCCAGACAGUCCGGUGUUAUGAAUCUGUGAACCCCAGACAGUCCGGUGUUAUGAAUCUGUGAACCCCAGACAGUCCAGUGUUAUGAAUCUGUGAACCCCAGGCAGUCCAAUGUUAUGAAUCUGUGAACCCCAGACAGUCCGGUGUUAUGAAUCUGUGAACCCCAGACAGUCCGGUGUUAUGAAUCUGUGAACCCCAGACAGUCCAAUGUUAUGAAUCUGUGAACCCCAGACAGUCCGGUGUUAUGAAUCUGUGAACCCCAGGCAGUCCAAUGUUAUGAAUCUGUGAACCCCAGACAGUCCGGUGUUAUGAAUCUGUGAACCCCAGACAGUCCGGUGUUAUGAAUCUGUGAACCCCAGACAGUCCAGUGUUAUGAAUCUGUGAACCCCAGGCAGUCCAAUGUUAUGAAUCUGUGAACCCCAGACAGUCCGGUGUUAUGAAUCUGUGAACCCCAGACAGUCCGGUGUUAUGAAUCUGUGAACCCCAGACAGUCCGGUGUUAUGAAUCUGUGAACCCCAGACAGUCCGGUGUUAUGAAUCUGUGAACCCCAGACAGUCCGGUGUUAUGAAUCUGUGAACCCCAGACAGUCCAGUGUUAUGAAUCUGUGAACCCCAGGCAGUCCAAUGUUAUGAAUCUGUGAACCCCAGACAGUCCGGUGUUAUGAAUCUGUGAACCCCAGACAGUCCGGUGUUAUGAAUCUGUGAACCCCAGACAGUCCGGUGUUAUGAAUCUGUGAACCCCAGACAGUCCAAUGUUAUGAAUCUGUGAACCCCAGACAGUCCAAUGUUAUGAAUCUGUGAACCCCAGACAGUCCAGUGUUAUGAAUCUGUGAACCCCAGACAGUCCGGUGUUAUGAAUCUGUGAACCCCAGACAGUCCGGCAGGUAGCCAGCGAGUCCAUUUCAUCUGACCCGGGUGGUUUGAGAAAAGUAGUGGACUAUAUAGGCCAGGGAAUAGUUUGUCAUUUGGUACGCAUUCUGUGUUCACAGGGCAAAACAUAAACAAUCCAGGAGGAAUUUAAUACUUAACACUUCAGCGCUAUGAAUAAUUCACCUCCAGUAAGAGGAGGAGCAUCUGAUAGAAGGGACAGAACACUUCCUGUCAAUAUUUAACUGGAUUAAACUGGGCUAUGUCAGAAGACAAAGGCUGUAAACUGUCAACCAGAAUGGCUGACUCAGGAACAGACAGAAGAUAGCUAUUAGUGUGUCAUUUAAUCUAUAUAGUGGACUACUUUUGACCACAGGCUAAUGGACCCUGGUAAAAAAGUAGUGCACUACAUAGGGUGGCAUUUGGGACUCAUCCUGUGAAGUGUAACCAGAGGUCAGGUCCCUGACUGCCUGACCUAUCCCAGCCUAGCAUACGUCCAACCUUCCCUUUCUUUGUUCCGUUGCAUAAUAAAGAUAGGUUAUCACAGA